rfam:Glycine max cultivar Williams 82 chromosome 18, whole genome shotgun sequence.
AAAGAUGUGAUGACACUUUCCCCAUAUGAUCGAAGUUGAUUCUAACUUUGCUAUUCACGUAAUUCAAUCUUCUUUUGGAGGAUUGAAAUUCCAAGCCAGAAUUCUGAUCUCC